CACGUAGGGGGCGAGCGUUGUCCGGAUUUAUUGGGCGUAAAGAGCUCGUAGGCGGUUUCGUUAGUCGGGUGUGAAAUCCGGAGGCUCAACCUCCGGCCUGCAGUGGGUACGGGCAGACUAGAGUGCGGUAGGGGAGAUUGGAAUUCCUGGUGUAGCGGUGGAAUGCGCAGAUAUCAGGAGGAACACCGAUGGCGAAGGCAGAUCUCUGGGCCGUAACUGACGCUGAGGAGCGAAAGCAUGGGGAGCGAACAGG
rnacentral:rRNA from 1 species